UGGACAAUGUGAUGACGAAAGGUGCAAAGUGUACAUGGGGAAACUUUGUAGGUCUCGUUAUAUUUCCUCUGUGGAUAAGAUCAGAAGAUGAUCCGUUAGAAUAUGUCCGACAAGCCAAAGCUACUAUGGAUAAGAAAAAACUUUCUUUAGAAGCAUUUAACUUUUACGGAGUCAUCAAACUCAAUAUGAAGUUUUUUGGAGAAAAGGUGAAGUAUAUAUGAUUGUAUAACUAUUUUACUCAUAUAUAAAUAAUUGUUUGAUUAUAAGAUACAUAUAUAACAGGUAGUACAAGCUAUUUCAAAGAGGUUAUUCGAUCAUACAACAUUGACAUAUUCAAAUAUGAUGGGUCCAGAUGAAGAAAUAAGUAUAUUUGACCAACCAAUAUCUUACCUCGCAGCAAGUGCAUUAACAGGAUCUCAAGUAAGUAUAGCUAUACUAUAUAAUCAUGCCCUACUUUUAUAUCACUUUGUUGUUACAUAAACUAUAAGAAACUUUUGAUGAAACUAUAUAGUUAAUAGAUGUUUAUGUGUUUGUUUUUUUUUAUUGGACAAGGUUCUCAAUAUCCAUUUUGUAAGUUAUGUAAACAAGCUUACUAUCAGUUUAGCGGUCGAUGCAACUGUGAUUCCAGAUCCUCACCGACUAUGUGAUGAUUUGGUAGAAUCUCUCAACAUCAUCAAAUCUACUGCUUUAGAGAAAUUUAGGAUCUCAUAAAAGAAAAGCUUGAGAUAAGUAUCUUUUUUUUGAAAGAAAAAGCUUGAGAUAAGUAUCACUGAUGUAUUUGAGUCUAUCUGUCAACUGUAAAAGUGAAGUUUUAUGUUUGAAAAGAGGAAACUAAAAUGUUAUUAUGAUUCUCUUCAUAUUCUUAAUUUCUUUUUGUACACUUCGAAAUAUUCCAAAGUGAUUUAUUAAUUAAUGUUUUGAAACGCUAUCAAAUAAAAACUUGAUAAGUAUGUAACAAGAUAAACACAUUUAAACAGUGGCAAUUGUGGCAGAUGUAUUAUAUAGUGAGCCGAAAGUAUGAAACCAUUUUGAUAAGGAUGAAAAAAAUCCAAGAACUGCCGAGAGAACUUCAAAAAGAAUGUUGUAAAUACAAUUAGUGAAAUUCUAAUAUUAAGACCUAGACGGAAGAUCAAAUAGUGAUGUAAGAAAAAAAUUGUGAUUAUAAAAUUUGAUUCCAUCUAGAAAGUUAAUCUGCAAACCCAACACAUGGUUAAGAUAGACUAAUCCAUUUUUAAAGCUUUUUAAAUAAGUACUAAGCUUAAGACACAUAUUGGAAAUUGUGUAAUGACUAUUCCAUAUGUUUCAAAAUGAUUUACUAUAUUUAAAAAAAUAACACAAUAAAAAAUUAAAAAUAUUUUAAAUUUGGAUUAUAAAUAUAUUAUUUUGUGAUAAUGUGUUUUCAUCAUUUUAAACUAUUAAAAUUUAAUAAAUACAAUUAUUUUUUAAAAAUUACAGUUUAUCAUUACUAUCUAAUAAAAUGUAUGGAAUAUAUAAAUAAAUGUAUUUCUAAAAAUAAUUUCCCCAAAAACAUGUAUGAUACAGUAGAGUAUUAAUUUGCUAAAUUUUUGGAUAUUUUUUUUUACUGAACCUACCUGAAUAACUAAGAAUUCAAAUGAUUAAGGGGGUGUUAGUGGAAGUAAGAUUAAUAUAGAGUUUGUUGAUUUUAAAAAUUGAGAGAUUUGUUAAAUUUGGAAAGAGUUGUAGAGAGUUUUGUAUAUUGUGAAAUUCUAUGAAAAUACAUUGAUAUAAUGAUUCUAAGAAUCUAAGGUAUAUAAGUAGUAUUCUCAAAAUCUUGUGUUAUGAGUUAAAUGGUGAAGAAUACAACUCCCAAUAACACCAACUUUAAUAGAUUUAAAGAAUCAUUAAAAUCUAGACUUUUUGAAUAACAAAAGAUUGUGUAUAGAAUUACUAAAUCAUGAAACCAAUAACACUAGAUUUUAAUGAGAAUGUGAGAAUGUGUAAACCAAUAACACUAGAUUCUAUAAAUUCUAACAAUCAUCAUAAAUCUAUAUGCAGCACUCGUUUGAGAUUUGUUUUUUUUUCUUUCACCCCUCUUUCUCUCUUCGCCGAAGAUCCUUUCUGAUCGUCAAAAUUCUCAGUAAGCAAAAAAAUUCUGGAUUUUAAUUUUCUCGACCAAUUCAGCUUUACAGUAACGAUCUCUCUGAAUUGAUGGCAGUGGAAUUUGAAUCCGAGGAUGCGGCCAAGAUGUUCUACGACGAUUACUCUAGAAGUUUAGGGUUUGUGAUGCGUGUAAUGUCUUGUCGGAGAUCCGAGAGAGAUGGCAGAAUCCUUGCCCGGAGAUUCGGUUGUAAUAAAGAAGGUCGAUGUGUUAGUGUCCGUGGCAAGUCUGGUUCUGUCAGGAAACCAAGACAGAGCACGAGAGGAGGACUUGUAAGGCUAUGUGAUUCAUGUUAAGUACGACCGGUCUGGUAACAUACUAAUUUCAAAAUGUUAUGAUUCUUUUUGCCAUAUAGUUUUAAUUUUCUACAUUUAAAAUGAAUAUUACCCAACUUUAAACAAACUUUCAAUCUGGUAAAUAUUGUUUAUUUUGUUCUAGAUCUUCUGUUAUAGAUAUUUAAAAACAUAUGCUAAGAUGAUUUCAUCUUAGACAUGUACUUAAAAAAUACAACAACAUUUUCUAUUAACACAAUGUCCGGGCUUGUUUUUACCUCUCAUACACAUUUGGUUACAUAGUGCGUCCGGAGUGGAAUAUCGUCGCACUACCCAAGUACACGGUGACAUGGAGCUGAUGCAAAUCUCUGACUUAAUUUCUCCAUAACCUAUUAUAGGAAUUCAAAUAAUUAAAUCAAAAUGUAUAUUAAUUAAUCAAAAUUUUCAACAUUGAGUUUAAAUAUAAACCAUUAUCCGGAGUAACAGCGCUACCUGUAGUAAGACAAUGAACAGAAGAUACGAUAAAAAUGAUGGUAAAAACAAAUGUGAUUAAAGUUUUUUUUGUGAUAGCCAUUUUUGAUCUCUAAAUAUUUGGAUUGUGUUUCAAAUAUUCUUUUUAACUUUUUAUGAUUUGU
rnacentral:lncRNA from 1 species